UAAGACCAAAUUUGUAAAAGCAGUUGUUUGAGUGGAUUAUUCUUUCUAUUCUCUUGCUUCACUUCUAGGACCUACAAAAUGUCAUUUGUUCAUUGCACAUUUUAAAAACAGUACGAAGCAGAUUAUGUACAACCUCUAACCUGUUCAUAUGAAGCAGACUUGCAUCCUGGGUCUACUAUGAGUGCUUCUCCAUGAGCGACAAAACUAUCAUGACAACCACUAUUGUUGCCUCCAGGCAGGAAAACAAUUAAGUUUGUUGUGCGAAAAGGCUUAGCUGUUCUACUUUCCAUAGGUAUAACUUUAACACCAGGAGGGUACUCCUGAAACAUGAAAAAAAAAUUAGUGGGCGGUAUUUUUCCCUUAAGAUGAUAAAAACAUCAACGAAACAAAAUUUUCACAUUUACAUGUUCACACAUCAAUUGCUAUCUGUUGCUUAUUCCUUAAGUCUUCCUUGACUGCAGGAAUGCAGGUCUUUAGAUAAACACAACCACUAUUAUUGCCUCCGGGCAGGAAAACAAUUAAGUUUGUUGUGCGAAAAGGCUUAGCUGUUCUACUUUCCAUAGGUAUAACUUUGACGCCAGGAGGGUACUCCUGAAAC
rnacentral:lncRNA from 1 species